AUGUCACCGUUUCACACAAUGCACGGGCAUAAUAGAGAGAGAGAGCAUCGUGACUGCCAUGGCUUGAACUAUUUUGUUGAGAUCCUGGAAAAAUUGAAUGGUAUAAUUCUGUUAAUUGGGAACCUUGGAAUUGAUUUUCACCUGAAAAGGUUGAUCGAGGGUCGGAUAAUGGACGUAACACAGCUGCUAGAGAAGAUAUUAUAA
rnacentral:rRNA from 1 species